rnacentral:sRNA from 2 species
AGCUUGGAGGGGUCGACACCACGGGUGACGACGAGAUAAUCGCGCAGCGCGAUGCUGUGGCGUCCCUC